rnacentral:rRNA from 1 species
UACGAAGGGGGCUAGCGUUGUUCGGAUUUACUGGGCGUAAAGCGCACGUAGGCGGGUCGUUAAGUCAGGGGUGAAAUCCCGGAGCUCAACUCCGGAACUGCCUUUGAUACUGGCGACCUUGAGGCUGGAAGAGGUUAGUGGAAUUCCCAGUGUAGAGGUGAAAUUCGUAGAUAUUGGGAAGAACACCGGUGGCGAAGGCGCCACUCUGGGCCGAAACUGACGCUGAGGAGCGAAAGCGUGGGUAGCAAACAGG